ensembl:lncRNA
CUGCAUUUCUUCUUUGAGUACUUAGACCUGUGCUGGACACACUUGAUAAUACUUCUCCAUACAAUCUAACCCUUCAGCAGCCUUCUGUUUAUCUCGAUUGGAAAGCAGGUCAGUAUAAAGACAAGAGUUCCUCAAGUGCUACUAAUGCACAAAAAACAGUUCUCCUUUCUAAGUGGAUUUUUUUUUGUCCUUCUAUCACGUCUCUGGUUUCUCCUCACCCUCUUUAGAAACGGGACUGUCUGCCUGGAGAGAAAUGUGCCUUGGACAAACAAGACCAAAGAGUCUUCGCUUUGGAGUUCUUGAGAAGAACUAUCCCUUUUUAAAAGGGAGUUUAAACAAAAAUGUCUAGGCAGAGAGGGCUCACAACCUCUCCCUAGCAACAGCUGCCCCAGAAGGUGACUGCGGUGUUUCCAACGAUGACCUCCAUGCAUCUCUCACGGCCUCAUCUCUUUUCAAGACCCUUUCAUGUGACAGACCCCAUGAUGAAUGCCUGGAGACUGUACUGUACCACAUUACUUAUUUUGUCAGAGCUGCUGUCUCUGCCAAAUGGUGGCCAGACACUCAGACAGACUCUCCCAAUUAGCAGAGUCCUGCAGCUGAUGUCUGGGGCUGCAUCUGUGUGCCCUGUGCAUUACUACAGCUGAGACACUGGCUAGGCCCUCAUGGCCCGGGGUAGGUAACCACCUCAGCCACAGGGCAAGGAGGAAGCAGCUGGGCCUUCUUGAAAGAUGCGAUUUCCCUCAGUUCCUCUUGCUUGGCUGUGAAGGCGGCUAUUUGCAUGUUUAGUCCUUUCAUCCUUCUGUGGCCUGGGUGGAUCUGGAGCCGGCAGAGUGACUCAUCUGGGUCAUGCCACAGGCCUUGGCUUCCUUCUCAGUCUCAGCAAGGAGCGACUCCACACGCUGACCGUGGCGGAUCCCACAGGAUGUCGGUGUGUGGGGCCGGCUCCUGGUGCAACUCGGACUCCAGUGGCACUUGCAUGCUGCAACCAGACAUGGAUGAUGAAAGCCAUAUGCAAAGAAAUGGUCCUCCUCUGAAGAGCUCACAGACUGCAGGUGGUGGUGGGGAAAAGGUGGAUUCCCAAAGCAGCUACUUGGCAUUAUUGGCAGCAGCAAUCUGAAAAGAAAGACCCAACCAGACUGCAGCUUUGUUUGGCAUCAAACUUGCCUCCUGAGAUGAUCACACAAGAAGUCUUUUAUCACUUUGGCAGCUGAGAGCCAGAGCUGCUUGUGGUGGAAGUCGCUGGGACCGUAACCCCGAGUUGUCGUGGGAUGAGAGUCAAGCUUGGCCUGUCAGCAAGGCGAGUUGCAGCAGUCUGAGCCCCUGCCAGGACACGUCAGUACUUCUGAGCGUGCUUCCCCCGGUGCUGCUCUCAUUAAGGAAAAGGUAUGAAAUCCACAUCUAAGUUGCACUAGUCCUUUAAAAAAAUGAAGUGUUGUCUAAAAGAAAAAUCCUGUCCAGAAUCGUGGUCUAAUUCCUUAGGAAGUCACUAUAAAUUGAACCUCCUCUGCUCUCACUGCCUAGUAACCUCUUAGUUUUCUUACUGAUCUAGUUCAACUUCUGUGCUAUUGGCACUAUGUUAUCCUCAGCACUGUCACUUAAUGCCCAGGUUUGUGUCGAGGAGAGGGGUCCUGCUGAACUCCUCAGGCAUCAGCAGGUCUCCAAGGCUGCAGUCACCCUUCCUCGCAGCUUUCCCAAUUCAUUUCAUAACAUGCUUACCACAUCUUGAGGACAAGACGCUGACACAGCCAGAGAAGUACUGCUAUUAGUUGCAUUUCCCAGGAGUGAGGAAUUUGUUUCCUUUUCCCAGUCAUGUUUUGCUGAAGAAAUAAUUUAAAAGGGGAGAAGAAAAACACACGUUAUUGUGUUAGCAAGAUGGAAAACAUCUUUCUGUGGCUUCCAGGUAUUUAUGUGCCAUUGUCUCUACAGUGCCACUAGCAACAGUAUUGCCUGUUGCUGACUAUUAAGUAUGGACAAUUUUGCAAUAGCUGUGUGCACCAUACCUUUGCAAGCAGUGCCUUUUCCCUGUCUGUCCUCAUGGCUUAGUUUAUUUGUAUGCAAGGCAACAGCAAUGUUUAUCAAGGCUUUCCAUCAGCUGUACGAACUCAGAGCAGAAUCAGCUGUGUGCGUAUGUCCCUUGUCGUGAGAGCUUCAGUUUUUGGGAGGUAGGCUCUUGGGGAGAUCCUAUGAGAUUUGGUGUUUCUUAUGCAUCUCUCUAGACAAAGUGCUGCCUAUGCAUAUACUAUAAGGGCAUAUGGAUAUAGCAUGAGAAAGGAAAAAACAUAUUUGUUUGUUUUCCAGUCUCCCCAUAGAAUGGAUCUAAAACAGAACUAUCAUUCACUAUGCAAAACAAACAAACAAACAAACAAACAAAAAACCCUGACAAAAUAUUCUUAUAUUUGUAAAAAACUUCUUAUAUGUUUUUCAGGGUAUAACUAAGACUUGCUAGGCUCCUCCUCUCUCCUUCCCUGCCUCACCCCAAAUACUUCCAUUUUUGGCUAAAAACAAUCUCAAGUUUGAAAAUUUUCUAACCACCAAUGUCAGCCAAAACUCAGUCCCUUUUCUCUGAUUUUUCCACUUAAUUUUUGAAGUAUCUUCUGGCAAAACAAAAAUAUUGUUUUGAUGGAAAAUUUUCAACCAGCUCUGCUCAUUAGUUUCUGCCAACAGUCAUACAGGCAAAACAGUGUAUCUUCCAAGAGAGGAGACUGUCCCAGAGGGCCUAACAUGAGGCUGGCAGUGAGUAAUGCUUCUCUCCCCAGCCCUGUGCCCCAGCCAGCACUGUGCUCUUUUGCAGGCCACAACCCUUGGUGAGACCAAUCUUUCUAGAGAUGUUUCCGGUCCCAAUUUCUUUUGGCAAGUCAACUCCAUAAUUCAGGUAUUUUGCCCAGUUGAAGGAAGGUGUGGGUGGCACAGUAGGAUCACCAAGAGACCACAAGACUUGGAAGAGUAAUAUUCUGCACUUCAUAUCCACGUUAACUAAUACUUGGACUCCUGCAGGCAAGUACCAGCUGGCAGGGAGAGGUGGGGAGAUGGGGCCUAGUCCAGCUCUCUAUCAAAACAAACUUCCCUGUGCUAUUGUUGAACAGAGCUGUUUAGAAAUACCAGCAGCUGAGCCAUGCACAGGCAUGAGCAGUCUCCAGUGUAACCCCUGAGAAGCUCUGUGGGCAGGAUUCUAAAUUGACUGGUAGACUGAAAUGACAGCAGUCACAUCACUGCUGUGUAUCUGUUACCCAUCUGUCUCUUGGGAAGGUAUUUCUCACACUGAAUGUGGAGCAUGAAUUCAAGGGAAGCUGAGCUCCUCUUGGGAAGAUAUUCCUGCAGAGACGGGCAGAAGCUAAAUUUCAGUAUUUGGCUUCAGGAGCUAAAAAAGCUUCUGCACGCUGGCUACAUGGACAGUAUCCUCUGAGGACAGCCAUUCUGCAGCAGUCCCUAAUACUUGCCAAGUACUCUGAGAUCUUCCAAUGAAAGGGUUUUUAGAUGUGGAAAAGUUUAUAGCCCUUCUCUGACCAUUGGUGAUUUUAGUAGGUUAAGUUAGGAACAGGAAAUACAGUGACUAGAGGAAAGCCAUUAAUAUUAAAUUCCAGCCUUUGCCAGUUAGUCUUAUGUUAUCUUUGCUCUUUCAUGAAAUACUUUCCAGUUUUCCUCGCAGGGCAUUUGUUAGAGGGGUAGCAACUGAGGAGCUGUAUCUUGGCACAUCUCCACCUGCUUUUCUGUAGCAGUGCACAUUUGUGCUGUGGGAUUUUAAGAAUUUCCUUUGCCUUUAGAAUUGAUAUGCAAACAGUCAGCUGUACAGACAUCAAUCUGACCAGUAGACAUACAGUGUGACCCAAGAAAUAAUACAGGUGGCCAGCACCAUGCUGGUGACUCCAGAAUUUCUGGAGAAAACAGACUUGUUUUACUAUGUCUACAAGAUGGGAGGUCCUGUAUACACUGUCCAGUAAUGUAAUCUGCUGUGCUUGACUGAUCACAAAAUACCCACCGGGAUUUCCCUACCAGCACUCUUGAUUAUUGCCAAGGAAAGCAAAGGUUUGUAAGGAAUGUGAGUCCUGACAUUGCCACCUCAAAAAUAGCUUGGAGAUCUCAAGAUGCUCAUUUCAACAGCCGAGCAUACAUUCCCUUUGUGCUGUACCAAGUCUGCCAGAUUGAUAGGAACCAGAACCUUCCAUCUCUAGCCUGCACAGUGAUCUAAGUAACCUUUCAUGCCAGAGCAAACAUAGAGCCCCUGUGCAGUCAGCAUACAGUUCUGCCAGCAUCCCUCUCUUCAACUCCUCAAAUAGUCAUUGACUCUGUUGUGCUAAAAGCAGCU